rnacentral:rRNA from 1 species
AGAGUUUGAUCCUGGCUCAGAUUGAACGCUGGCGGCAGGCCUAACACAUGCAAGUCGAGCGGCAGCGGGAGGAAGCUUGCUUCCUCGCCGGCGAGCGGCGGACGGGUGAGUAAUGUCUGGGGAUCUGCCCGAUGGAGGGGGAUAACCACUGGAAACGGUGGCUAAUACCGCAUAACGUCGCAAGACCAAAGUGGGGGACCUUCGGGCCUCACACCAUCGGAUGAACCCAGAUGGGAUUAGCUAGUAGGUGGGGUAAUGGCUCACCUAGGCGACGACCCUAGCUGGUCUGAGAGGAUGACCAGCCACACUGGAACUGAGACACGGUCCAGACUCCUACGGGAGGCAGCAGUGGGGAAUAUUGCACAAUGGGCGCAACCUGAUGCAGCCAUGCCGCGUGUGUGAAGAAGGCCUUCGGGUUGUAAAGCACUUUCAGCGAGGAGGAAGGUGGUGAACUUAAUACGUUCAUCAAUUGACGUUACUCGCAGAAGAAGCACCGGCUAACUCCGUGCCAGCAGCCGCGGU